rnacentral:lncRNA from 1 species
GUUCUAAAAGAAUCUUUCUCAAGAUAAAUUUUCAGUGUUGUGUGUCAAAAUGUUCCAAGUAUUAGAAGUUGCAGCAUCUAAAUGCCAUCCAUACACAUGAAUUGGGGAUGUGAUGGAAUUUUAGCUGGUACUGUAUAUUUGAACCUGUUCUCUUCAAUUAGUCUAAGUUUAUACGACAAGUUCAUAUCUAAAAGAAAUGUCGAUAUAAUCCAAAUUGGGAGGUGUCGCCGUCGGCUCUAUUUCUUUGCUUUUUUUCAUUCGAUUGAUAGGAUUGCAUUCAAUUUCUUCUGUUUCCUAUGAUUACUGGAUGCUUUUGUUUGAACCAACCUUGAUUAACAAUUAAUGUACGAUUAUAUCAUUUUGUAGCAGUGAUUUCUCCUGUUUGGUGGUUCGAGUGCUGUGAAGAUAUAAACUCAAGGCAAUUUUAUGAGUAGCUAGCUUUAAAUUUGCUAUGCUUUCUAGUGAUAGGAUUCUCUGUCUGUAAUUAUGCUUCCUUUUUGAUGUUGUCUUUGUACGGUUUUACCAUCGAUUUAUCAGAGAUUUUGCAUAGUGCACCUAUUAAUAAUAACAAUG